CAUUGCUUCUUUCAGACACCUAGGGGUGGUAUGUAAUUGUCCCAGGUCACUGGGUGUGGGCUCGAGCUGAUUUUGCAUUGUGUAAUUGAAACAGAACCCC